rnacentral:rRNA from 1 species
GGAUGCGAUCAUACCAGCACUAAAGAACCGGAUCCCAUCAGAACUCCGAAGUUAAGCGUGCUUGGGUGAGAGUAGUACUAGGAUGGGUGACCUCCUGGGAAGUCCUCGUGUUGCAUUCC